UACGUAGGGUGCAAGCGUUAAUCGGAAUUACUGGGCGUAAAGCGUGCGCAGGCGGUUAUGUAAGACAGAUGUGAAAUCCCCGGGCUCAACCUGGGAAUUGCAUUUGUGACUGCACGGCUAGAGUGUGUCAGAGGGGGGUAGAAUUCCACGUGUAGCAGUGAAAUGCGUAGAGAUGUGGAGGAAUACCGAUGGCGAAGGCAGCCCCCUGGGAUAACACUGACGCUCAUGCACGAAAGCGUGGGGAGCAAACAGG
rnacentral:rRNA from 1 species